CUAUGGGCGGCACCAGUGGGGAAUAUUGCACAAUGGGCGCAAGCCUGAUGCAGCCAUGCCGCGUGUAUGAAGAAGGCCUUCGGGUUGUAAAGUACUUUCAGCGGGGAGGAAGGGAGUAAAGUUAAUACCUUUGCUCAUUGACGUUACCCGCAGAAGAAGCACCGGCUAACUCCGUGCCAGCAGCCGCGGUAAUACGGAGGGUGCAAGCGUUAAUCGGAAUUACUGGGCGUAAAGCGCACGCAGGCGGUUUGUUAAGUCAGAUGUGAAAUCCCCGGGCUCAACCUGGGAACUGCAUCUGAUACUGGCAAGCUUGAGUCUCGUAGAGGGGGGUAGAAUUCCAGGUGUAGCGGUGAAAUGCGUAGAGAUCUGGAGGAAUACCGGUGGCGAAGGCGGCCCCCUGGACGAAGACUGACGCUCAGGUGCGAAAGCGUGGGGAGCAAACAGGAUUAGAUACCCGGGUAGUC
rnacentral:rRNA from 1 species